rnacentral:lncRNA from 1 species
AUUGGUAUAGUCAUCGCAUCUCUUCCUUUGCAAGCGACACCAUUCCUCCUCCUCUCUCUGUAUUUUCCGUGGGGCGCUGUGUACGACAAAGCUAAACAAUAACCCUCCUUUGUUAUUUGUACCUUGAAAUGAAUCAAUCAUCUAAAAACCCAUAAGAGAAAGGAAAAUAAUUAGAUCCAGAGAAUUUCUCUGCCGUCACUCUCUCUUUUUUCCUCUCUAUUCUUUACUUCAUUCCACUUUUUAGGGUUUUAUUCUAUUUCAAUCGUUAUGCACCGGGGAAGAUCUAUCUUUUCUUUGUAGUAACAGGUAAUUUUCAGCUUUACAUUUGUGCGAAUAGUUGUUUAUGCCUUGUGUACAACUUUUAGCAUAUAACUUUUGAUACUUAUGUUUUUCGUUUUGUCUAAGGUUACACAUGUUUUGAAAUUGUUUUGGGCAUGUGAAUUUUGAUUCGUGUUCGUCUUUUUUUGAUUGGUGUAAAGUUGUAUGCUUUGUUUCUGAAAUUGUUUUGGCCUCUGGGCUUGUAGUUUGUGAUGCUUGUUCUUUGUAUACCCAUUGGCAUAAGAAAUUGUUUAGAGCAUAUGGAUUUUGAUUUAAUUAAUUGUUACAGGUGAAUUUUUGUGUGUUCCAUAUAACUAGUUGAGGAAGAGAUGGGUAGGGGUAGAGAUAGGGAUAUUUCAAGGUCUAGAUCGAGGUCGCCAGCACAUAGAAGGAGAUAUUCACGGUCACCCUCGCCCGUGGCACGCAGACAUAGCCGCAGAAGCAGGAGAGAUAGAAGCAGAUCACAUUAUUCCUAUAGCAGGUGAUACCCAUUUGCUUAAAUUGAUAUAUGGAUUUGACUUAUAUGGAUUUUGCCCUUGUGUUAUAUCUCUGAUCUUUGUGUUUUUAUGUACUUGGAUUUGUUUUUAUUAUUCUAAUAAAGCUCACGUUUUGCUGAUUCAAUUACAGUUUGUUCAGGUAUUGUCUACGUGUUUGAUUCUUGAAAAAGUAUUGGUAUUUAUCUAGCGUUUAUUGGAUCGACUUGCGCGGUUGCUCAAAAAUGAAUUUAGGACUUCAUAGUGACAGCAUUGGUCUAAGCUGUGGCAGGAUUGCUGAUUGAUCAUUUUUGCUUGUAUUUUAAAGACUUUAAGAGGAACUUCUAGUAAUUGGUGCAUUCGAAUACCGCUAAGUUUUCCAUCUAC